GUAACGCGUAAGUGUUUCUGUUGUCCCGACAAAUAUUUAAACCUCCCGCCACUGAGGAUGCUCGAUUGCCGACAGCAAACACCAGUAAAUUAUACCCGUGCCUUUAUCAAUGAUCCGUAGAUUAAGCCUGAUAAACAUCAAUAUUGAAUUGUUUACACUUGCAAAGUCAACUGUUAUUGCAGCACUUACCUCUUCUAGCAUGGUUUUACAAGUCACUUUCCAAUAUGUCAGCUGGGUAUCAACAACGCCAAUUAGCGUUCUUUAUACACCUGACCAAAGAUGUAACACUGUUUCCAGUCGUCUCGAGGCUCAUCAAUUGAGCGGUGCCGUUGAGGUCUAUAUCCAUUGCACAUACAACACAUACGGGCGUCAGAAGAAUUGUUUUUUGCAUUUAUAUGUUGAAAGUCCUGUCAAAUACAAGCACUCACUCCUA